UACGGAGGGUGCAAGCGUUGUUCGGAAUUAUUGGACGUAAAGCGCGUGUAGGCGGCUUGAUAAGUCUGAUGUGAAAGCCCCGGGCUCAACCUGGGAAGUGCAUUGGAUACUGUCGAACUUGAAUACGGGAGAGGGUAGUGGAAUUCCUAGUGUAGGAGUGAAAUCCGUAGAUAUUAGGAGGAACACCGGUGGCGAAGGCGGCUACCUGGACCGAUAUUGACGCUGAGACGCGAAAGCGUGGGGAG
rnacentral:rRNA from 1 species